UACGUAGGUGACCAGCGUUGUCCGGAUUUACUGGGCGUAAAGAGCGCGCAGGCGGUCGUUCAAGUCGAGUGUGAAAGCCCCCGGCUCAACUGGGGAGGGUCAUUCGAUACUGAUCGACUUGAAGGCAGGAGAGGGAAGCGGAAUUCCCGGUGUAGUGGUGAAAUGCGUAGAUAUCUGGAGGAACACCGGUGGCGAAGGCGGCAUCCUGGACCGGCAUUGACGCUGAACAGCGAAAGCCAGGGGAGCAAACGGG
rnacentral:rRNA from 1 species